rnacentral:rRNA from 1 species
UCCAGACUCCUACGGGAGGCAGCAGUGAGGAAUAUUGGUCAAUGGCCGAGAGGCUGAACCAGCCAAGUCGCGUGAGGGAAGACGGCCCUACGGGUUGUAAACCUCUUUUGUCGGGGAGCAAAGCGAGUCACGUGUGACUCAUUGAGAGUACCCGAAGAAAAAGCAUCGGCUAACUCCGUGCCAGCAGCCGCGGUAAUACGGAGGAUGCGAGCGUUAUCCGGAUUUAUUGGGUUUAAAGGGUGCGUAGGCGGAGUGUCAAGUCAGCGGUAAAAUUUCGGGGCUCAACCCCGUCGUGCCGUUGAAACUGACACCCUUGAGUGAGUGAGAAGUAAGCGGAAUGCGUGGUGUAGCGGUGAAAUGCAUAGAUAUCACGCAGAACGCCGAUUGCGAAGGCAGCUUACCGGCGCUCAACUGACGCUGAGGCACGAAAGUGCGGGUAUCGAACAGGAUUAGAUACCCUCGUA